UGCAGUUGCGCCCUUAAACAAGGUACUAAGCUUGAAAUACCUGAAGUAAACUGUGUGACACUGGGGGAGAGCUUUUACUACAUGCCUAAAAGUAAAGCUUUAUGUAGUGAGCUGCAUAAUGUUGGGGACAAAGACAUAUUUUUUCUUUAUUUGGCUCAGUACUCCACAAUUUUAUUUUAUAUUUGUAAUCAAACAAUUCACAUGUGGUUAAAGUGCACAUUAUUUAAUACACAUUCUGUAUUAAAGGGUAUUUUUUUAUGUACUUUGGUUUUCCCGUGUUGAAAUUACAGCACGUUUUAUACAUAGCCCCCCAUUUCAGGGUACCAUAAUGUUUGAGACAUAUUAAUAUUAUGUAAAUGAAAGUAGUCCUGUUUAAUACUUUUUACAUAUCCUUUGUAUGCAAUGAUUGCUUGAAGUCUGUGACCCAUAAACAUCACAAGAGGUUGGGUAUCUUAUUUGGUGAUGCUCUGACAGGCCUUUACUGCAGCCAUCUUAAGCUCCUGCUUGUUUCAGGUGCUAAUUGCCUAGUUUGCUCUUCAUCAAAUGAAAUGCAUGUUCAGUUGGACUCAGAUUAGGUCAGUUGACAUACCCAGUCAACUUUCCAGUUUUUAGCUUUGGAAAACUCCUUUGUUGCUUUAGCAGUAUGUUUGGAUGGCACUUCAAUGAGUUUGGAGGCAUUUGGUUGAACUUGAGCAGAAAAGAUGCAUCUGAACACUUCAGAAUUCAUUCUGCUGCUGCUGUCAGCAGUUCCAUCAUCACUGAAGAGAAGUGAGAUAGUACCCGUGGCAGCCAUACAUGCCUAAACCAUGUAACUCCCACCACCAUGUUUCACAGAUGAGCAAAGGUGCUCUGGAUCUUGAGCAGUUCCUUCGGUCAUUUUUCUCUUGCCACCACUCUGAUACAAGUGAAUCUUGGUCUCAUCUGUCCUCUAGACCUGUUUUCUGGGGCCGUAUGUAUCAAGCCGCUCAAAGUAAAAAAUUAGUCUCAAGUGUAACUUAAGUCUAAGAAUGGGUGACUUUUACUCCUACACUCAGAUUUAAGAAUAAAAGUGAUUUAACAAAUUUCUCUUGACUUAAGAAUACUCUUAACCUGUCAGGUGUUUAAGAGACCUCUGGGGCUCUCUUAAUUUGGCUAGGAGUAGGCAAGAUGGCUGAGCUGCGAGGACGGAGACGCGCACGCACCUUCCGAGACAGGAAGAAUGUUUUACAAAUGUUUGAUGAUGCACAGUUAAUCAAACGUUAUCGCUUAGAUCAUCAGGGAAUCAUCUUUGUCACCGAUCUUGUGCGGGAUGUAAUAUCACCAUCAACUUUGAGAAGUAGUAAUUACGGCAGAGAUGCAAGGCAUUUUAACGCUGGGCUUCCUAGCCACAGGAAAAAUGCAGUUAUGCAAUGCUGAUGAUUUGGGACCAUCACAAUCCACCAUCAGCAGGGUAGUGGCAAAAACUGUGUCAGCCCUUGCAGCACCUCACAUAGUGAGGAGGUUUAUAGAAUUUCCAGCCUCUCCUCCGUUAAUCUGCCAGAAGCAAGCUGCAUUUAUGCGUCUAGCGGGCUUCCCGGGGUUGGUUGGAGUAAUUGAUGGCACCCACAUCCGUAUAAUUGCUCCCAGCGUAGAUGAAGAGACUUUUGUAAACAGGAAGAGGUACCACAGCAUCAACACCCAGGUAGUCUUUGACGCAGAUUACAACAUUUUAGAUGUUGUGUCCAAGUGGCCAGGAUCUACCCAUGACGCACGCAUCCUGAAUGAAAGUGGAUUGCAACGGCUGUUUGACAGGAACAUUGUUCCACCCGGGUGCCAUCUCCUUGGAGAUAAAGGCUACCCAAAACGACGCUGGCUUCUCACACCAUUCCCAAGACCACAACCAGGGGCCCAAGAAAAUUACAACAGGUACAAAUUAACUAAGCCUGUGAAUUAUAAUAAUGAAUCAUCUCACCAUUAUAGAGUUAUUUUUGACGGUCAUCUAAACAUAAUUGGACUUUUCAGGGCUCACCAAUGCACCCGAAGCGUUGUAGAGGGGCAUCAUGCGGCCAAUGGAAACUCCGGUUCCAUGUCCUUCAUGGGGAAAUCCGCCAAACACCACAGAAGGCCAGCGAUAUUAUAAUGGCAUGUGCAGUCUCGCAUAACAUAUGCAUAAUGUGCAACAUUCCUCUCCCCCCUGAUGAGGGAGAUCAUAAUAAUGAUGAUGAUGAUAAUGAUGAUGAUGACAACCACCCUCCUAGCAUCCCAUUUGCCUCUGAUGCCACUGUGUUUAGGCAGCACUUUGCCAACUUUCAUUUUGGUGCAUCCAUGUCCCCCACCUCGUCCGGCUUGAGCCGUGGAGUGGCAGUGGCCAGUGGGGGCUCAGGGAGCAGGGGCUCUGGGCCUGCUGCUGGAGAGGGAAUGCCAGAUGGGCCUGGAAGCAGUGCUGUUGCAGCUGGGAGUUCCUCUACAGGCAGCUCAUGAGGGGACGAGAUGGUGUUUUCAUCUGCAUUACUGAAAAACAGAAUUCAUUUUGUUAAGUUAGUUGAUUCUUGUGAAUAUGCAUUUGUAUCAAUAAAAUAAGUAUUGAGUAUUGA